rnacentral:rRNA from 1 species
CCUACGGGGGGCAGCAGUGGGGAAUAUUGGGCAAUGGAGGCAACUCUGACCCAGCAACGCCGCGUGAAUGAUGAAGGUCUUCGGAUUGUAAAGUUCUGUGAUGGGGGAUGAACACAAUGACGGUACCCCAAUAGCAAGCCACGGCUAACUACGUGCCAGCAGCCGCGGUAAUACGUAGGUGGCAAGCGUUAUCCGGAAUGACUGGGCGUAAAGGGGGCGUAGGGGGUUUAGUAAGUUGGCGGUGUAAUUCCGGGGCUCAACCCCGGCGCUACCGCCAAAACUAUUAGACUAGAGUGCAGGAGGGGUAAGUGGAAUGCCUAGUGUAGCGGUGGAAUGCGUAGAUAUUAGGAGGAACAUCAGGGGCGAAGGCGACUUACUGGACGGUAACUGACACUGAGGCACGAAAGCGUGGGGAGCAAACAGGAUUAGAUACCCGUGUAGUC